rnacentral:rRNA from 1 species
UACGGAGGGUGCGAGCGUUUGUUCGGAAUUACUGGGCGUAAAGCGCGUGUAGGCGGCUACCUAAGUCUGAUGUGAAAUCCCGGGGCUUACCCCCGGAAGUGCAUUGGAAACUGGGUGGCUAGAGUACCGGAGAGGAGGGUGGAAUUCCUGGUGUAGCGGUGAAAUGCGUAGAUAUCAGGAAGAACACCGGUGGCGAAGGCGGCCCUCUGGACGGAUACUGACGCUGGAGACGCGAAAGCGUGGGGAGCAAACAGG